CUCCAGACUCCUACGGGAGGCAGCAGUGGGGAAUAUUGCGCAAUGGGCGAAAGCCUGACGCAGCGACGCCGCGUGAGGGAAGACGGUCUUCGGAUUGUAAACCUCUGUCUUUGGGGAAGAAAAUGACGGUACCUGAAGAAGAAGCCCCGGCUAACUACGUGCCAGCAGCCGCGGUAAUACGUAGGGGGCAAGCGUUAUCCGGAUUUACUGGGUGUAAAGGGGGCGCAGACGGCGAUGCAAGCCAGGAGUGAAAGCCCGGGGCCCAACCCCGGGACUGCUCUUGGAACUGCGUGGCUGGAGUGCAGGAGGGGCAGGCGGAAUUCCUGGUGUAGCGGUGAAAUGCGUAGAUAUCAGGAGGAACACCGGUGGCGAAGGCGGCCUGCUGGACUGCAACUGACGUUGAGGCCCGAAAGCGUGGGGAGCAAACAGGAUUAGAUACCCGGGUA
rnacentral:rRNA from 1 species